GACGAACGCUGGCGGCGUGCUUAACACAUGCAAGUCGAACGAAGUGGCGAACGGGUGAGUAACGCGUAAUCAACCUGCCCUUCAGAGGGGGACAACAGUUGGCAACGACUGCUAAUACCGCAUACUGAAGGAGGGGAUUGCGUCUGAUUAGUUAGUUGGAGGGGUAACGGCCCACCAAGGCGAUGAUCAGUAGGCGGUCUGAGAGGGUGAACGGCCAAAUUGGGACUGGGGCACGGCCCAGAAUCCUGCGGGAGGCAGCCGUGGGGAAUCUUCCGAAAUGGAGGAAAGUCUGGCGGAGCAACGCCGCGUGAGUGGUGACGGCCUUCGGGUUGUAAAGCUCUGUUAAGCGGGACGCGGUACCGGAAGAGAAAGCCACGGCUAACUACGUGCCAGCAGCCGCGGUAAUAC
rnacentral:rRNA from 1 species